AUCACCCUGAACGGUGGAUCACUUGGCUCGUGGGUCGAUGAAGAACAAAGCUAAUUGCUCGUCGACAUGUGAACUGCAGGAUACAUGAAGAUUGACAUUUCGAACGCACAUUGCGGUUCUCGGAUACUGUUUCCGAACCACCUCCGGCUGAGGGUCAUAUAACAUUACCAGACUGCCGCUUGCUUGAAAUGGCUUGCCGGCAAAUGAUGGAGUUUCGCGUAUAUGCGUGCUCUUAAAUAAUUCACUCAAGGUGUGAGCCAGUCCACUUUACAACAUUGGACAUUACCGUUCGUUGACGUUCUGUGGGAUUACUUAAUAUUCUUUAUAUUAAUUAUUUUAUAUUCUUGCGACCUUCAUGAUAACCGGAAACCCAAACUCUUCGUAAUGCGGUUUCGUUCUGGCAAAUUUGGGCAAUUCAGAGGUUUUUCGUCGAUUUUAUGUGCGCUUGCUUACUAAUGUUUGCGAGCACAUCAUAAUCAUAAUUUGACCUUAGAGCAGAUGAGAUUACCUACUGAAUUUAAGCAUAUUACUAAGCGGUGGCACUAAGAUUUUCUCAGUUGCGGCGAGCGAACAGGGAAGAGCCCAGCACUAAAUCUUGCGGUUGGAAACGGACGCUGGGAAAUGUAGUGUUAGGGAGAAUCCGAUUAUCUCGGUGCGUUGCUGCAAAUUCAAGUCCAUCUUGAAUGAUGCCAUUUACCAGUAGAGGGUGACAGGCCCGUAGCGAUCGUUGCGCGUACCGAGAGGAUCACUCCUCAGAUUCGAGUUGCUUGAGAGUGCAGCUCUAAGUGGGUGGUAAACUCCAUCUAAGGCUAAAUAUAACCACGAGACCGAUAGCAAACAAGUACCGUGAGGGAAAGUUGAAAAGAACUUUGAAGUGAUCUACGGUUGCGUGCUUGCAAUCCCUGGGCAUUUCACUCUCGGCCGAAUGGACCCGGGAUGAAUCAAACGCCAAGUUAAGGCACCUAAAAGAUGCUAAUCGGAUACCAUGAAAGACGUUAGUUGCUCAAGACAGCAGGACGGUGGCCAUGGAAGUUGGAAUCCGCAAAGGAGUGUGUAAUAAAUCACCUGACGAAGCAACUAGCCUUGAGAAUGAAUGGCGCUUAAGUGUUGUGCUUAUACUCGGCCGCCAGAGCAUGAGGAGCGUUUAUUACAGUUCGUUUUGAAGUCCUGGUAAGUAGGAGGGUCACGGUGGUGUGCGCAGAAGGAUUUGGGCGUGAGUCUGCCUGGAGCCGCCAUCGGUGCAGAUCUUGGUGGUAGCAGCAAAUAUUACAGCGAGGCCCUGAAGGGCUGACGUGAAGAAGGGUCUCGUGCGAACAACCAUUGCACACGAGUCAGUCGAUCCCAAGUCCCAGGAGAAUCCCUAUGUGUAUUUUGGUGUAUUUUAUUUUGAAUAAAAUUUCACACCCAUCGGGCGAAAGAAAACCCGGUUCCUAUUCCGAAACCCGACAGCGGAGCCGUUUACAAGUCGGGCCCUCGCAAGAGAGUUCGUCGGGGUAACCCAAAAUGACCUGGAGACGCCGUCGCGAGAUACGGGGAGAGUUUUCUUUUCUGUAUGAGCGUUCGAGUUCCCUAGCAGGGAGUUCAAAUUCUUCAGCAGGGAGAUAAGGUUUGGAGCGCAAAGAGCACCGCAGUUGCGGCCGUGUCCGUAUCUUCCCCUCGGACUUUGAAAAUCCUAGAGAGCGCCACGGUAGGAGUUGCGCCGGUUUUAACCCAUAUCCGCAGCAGGUCUCUAAGGUGAAAGGCCUCUAGUUGAUAGAUUAAUGUAGGUAAGGGAUCCAUAACUUCGGGAUAAGGAUUGACACUGAUGAUCGGGGCGUGCCGGGCUUGGUUCGGGAGCAGGCGUAGGCCGACGUGCCGGGCCUGGGCGAUGUAAAAUUGUCCUUGUGACUUAGAUCUGAGCUCGGUCCUGUGUCUUUCCCCCGCGGAUCUUUCUUGCUGCAAGAUUUCUGUGCCGGUUUCGGUCGGUCGGUCGUCCUCUUCGGCUGCCAUUUAACGGUCAGCUCAGAACUGGCACGGACUAGUAAAAUCUGACUGCCUAAUUAAAACAAAGCAUUGCGAUUUUCCUAGCGGGUGUUGACGCAAUGUGAUUUCUGACCAGUGCUGUGAAUGUCAAUGUUAAGAAUUUCGAGCAAGCGCGGGUGAACUGCGGGAGUAACUGUCUUUAGCGCAUGGUGGAACCGCGGUUGUUAGGGUGCUUUUGUCUUUUGACAUAGCACUCUGGUCUCGAAAAAAUCAUGCGCUAACAAAUCGCGACUGGUCGAAUACCAGGAAGUAUCCGAACACUGGGACAGAUUUAGCCAAAUGCCUCGUCAUCUAACUAGGGACGCGCAUGAAUGGAUUAACAAGAUUCUCACUGUUCCUAUCUACUAUCUUUCAAAGGUCGGAGCUGGAAUGCGAUCAUAUAUGUGAGUAGAAAUAUGCAUUUAUAAAGAAAGCUUCUAUAUCGUAAACUGCUAUAUGUAGUUCUCAGUCGACAUAAAUAGCUGGACAGAAUCCCCAGGAAUCAGAAAUCUCUAACAACCUAGUUGUUCUAAAUGAACCUAGCCU
rnacentral:rRNA from 1 species